rnacentral:misc_RNA from 1 species
CAGAGAUCUUCUCCCACGAUUGGUUAAAGAUGGAAAUGAUGGCAAUACUGGAUCGACCGCUGUAUGUGAUACAAUCUGCCUGCAGGCUCUCUCAAAAAGAAUUCAUUAUGGAAAAUUUGUCGCUGAAGCCAAAUAUCGGGCCUCUCCAGAUGCAUAUGAAGCUGCAAUUAGGGCACAGGACAGAGAGAGGUUGAUGGAUUUGCUGACAUACAAGAAAGUUGAAGAGGCAAUCAAAAAGAGAGUGGAGAUGAAAGCUAUAACUUUCGGGCAAGAGGUGACAAUAUAUUGCGAGGAAGAUGGAAGUGACCCAGCAUGCAAAAUAGAACCAAGCUUGGUUGCCAAUCUAUAUGAGGACUCGAUAAUGCCAUUGACAAAAGAAGUUCAAGUUAUGUAUUUACUGAGAAGGUUGGAUUAAACUUUUCAAUGGCUGUUUAUGAUAGAGUUUUUCCUGAUAGCAGCCGGUUGAUGCUUGUGCUUGUAAUUACACGUGUGAAAGAUGACAGAUAUGCAAGAUCGCUGUGUAAAAAUAUCAAACAGUUACAGAUUUAGAAAAAUAAAUUUUGUGCAUGGAG